GUUUACAAGGACUCAGACAGAAGAAGCCAAAGGACAAAGGAAACCAGACAGCUAGAAAGUAUCCAAAAAUGUGAUAAUAUAGAAUAAUAUACCAAAUUAAAUAAUUAUAUAUAAAUAUAAGGCAUUCCUCUGUAUUCAAAUGAUGAAAACCAGCAUAUGUGUAAAUGACACGGAGAUAAUGAGAAAGUAAUGAUCAUGUUUUCCUGAUUUACACAGUACACAAACUAAUCCUUAAUGAAUUUCUAGCAUAAAAUAUUCUAAAAUGAGGGAAUAAACCAUUGCCAGAAAGAUUAAUCAGGGUUAAAUUGUCAUUAUUUUGAAUUGUAAUCCUUAUUGUAUUUCAGUUGACAACCAUGUAAUGUGGAAAACGUGAGCAUCUGUUUUAGUUUGCAUAAUGUGUGUGAGAGUAGCCGAAGUUCCAUCCAUUCAAUUAUUGAAUACAUGUUAGUGCCACUAUAAAUACCACAUGCAGUAUGUAUAAUGAUAGUGUGUCAGGCAUCAUUUACUUUAUUUCGGGCAUUGAAGCAAAUGAGCUCUUUUCCUAUUGUUAUCAGCUUCUGUUAAAGUGCCCUAGAGCAAAGCACUAAACCCCAAAAAACUACAGUGAAGGUGUUGAGUACAAGACAGUGAAUUAUGUAUGUUGUUCAUUAGGCCACAGACAUUCGGCAGCAUGUGGUGACAAAGAAUGAGUGUUUUGGAUUUUUACUCUUGAACCUUCAUAUCGUAUUUCACUUAUAAGUUAGCAAAGUUGAAAACACCCACUGAGAUCUGUUGUCUUUAGAUGAAAACAUCAAGAGUGCGAAGAACUCUAACCUCCCACUGAGAUUUCUUUUGUUGGUGUGGUGUGGACACAUUGUGAUUAAUGAACAGGAUACAGAUUGGUGAAACCUGUGUGGGUGGUACAGGACGGAAAUGGGCCUCAAAACUCAAUCAUCUGUCUUGCCUCCAUGGACCUGCAGAGAUUUAAUGGGUUACAUCCCUGAAUAGUGGAGACAUACAGGAAAUAUCAGUUCUGUGAGGCAUCUCAGGCAUCUCACAUCUGACCAGCAGAGGGCAGUGCUGCUCUGACAAAACAAUCAAUCAGGAAAACCAGCUCUCUCACUUGAUAACUCUACACCCAGUUAGAGCAUCGCAACCUCAAACAGUCUUCUGCCUGUAAUAGAGUCAGGGAGUUAAAAGAAUAUAUAUAUAUAUAUAUACAAAAUAAAGAUUUCUUUUAUUCUGUGUUUUGAAAAAGGGGAGGAGAUGAGACAAAAGGAUAAAAGAGAGCAAUGAGGUUGGAUCUGGCUGACGUAUGGACAAAGAGAUGGAGGCAAGAGAGGGUUUGGUAGAUGAAGAGGAAAACUAAAGACAGAGGGAGAGAAAGUGAGGGAUGGUGAUUCCCCUUUCGGCCUCCCCUGUGGCUGGACUUGUCUCUGCUAAUGACCCUGUCUGCUGGCUCACACAGACAGAUGGUGAAUUAACUCCAAUUAGCCCACUCUCACCAGAUCUCCUCUGACAGCUCACCACACACACACACACACACACACACACACACACACAC